rnacentral:tRNA from 1 species
GCCAGUCUAGCACAGUUGGUAGAGUGUAAGGUUCUUAACCUUGUGGUCGUGGGUUCGAGCCCCACGGUGGGUG